rnacentral:snRNA from 1 species
GUAUUCCCAUCAGCAGCACACAUACUAACAUUGGAAGAUUAGCCUGGCCCCUGUGCAAGGAUGACUUGCAAAUUUGUGAAAUAUUCCAUUAAAAA